rnacentral:rRNA from 1 species
AGAGUUUGAUCCUGGCUCAGGAUGAACGCUAGCGGCAGGCUUCAUACAUGCAAGUCGAGGGGCAGCAUAAAUUACUUGUAAUUUGAUGGCGACCGGCGAACGGGUGCGUAACGCGUAUGCAACUUACCUUUUACUAGAGAAUAGCCAAGAGAAAUUUUGAUUAAUGCUCUAUGUUCUUAUUUACUCGCAUGAGUAAAUAAGCAAAGCUCCGGCGGUAAAAGAUGGGCAUGCGUCCUAUUAGCUUGUAGGUGAGGUAAUGGCUCACCUAAGCUCCGAUAGGUAGGGGUCCUGAGAGGGAGAUCCCCCACACUGGUACUGAGACACGGACCAGACUUCUACGGAAGGCAGCAGUAAGGAAUAUUGGACAAUGGAGGCAACUCUGAUCCAGCCAUGCCGCGUGAAGGAAGACGGCCUUAUGGGUUGUAAACUUCUUUUAUACAGGAAGAAACCUUUCCACGUGUGGAAAGCUGACGGUACUGUAAGAAUAAGGAUCGGCUAACUCCGUGCCAGCAGCCGCGGUAAUACGGAGGAUCCAAGCGUUAUCCGGAAUUAUUGGGUUUAAAGGGUCCGCAGGCUGUUUGUUAAGUCAGAGGUGAAAUCCUACCGCUCAACGGUAGAACUGCCUUUGAUACUGGCAAACUUGAGUUAUUGUGAAGUAGUUAGAAUGUGUAGUGUAGCGGUGAAAUGCAUAGAUAUUACACAGAAUACCGAUUGCGAAAGCAGAUUACUAACAAUAUACUGACGCUGAGGGACGAAAGCGUGGGUAGCGAACAGGAUUAGAUACCCUGGUAGUCCACGCCG